rnacentral:rRNA from 1 species
AGUGAACGCUGGCGGUAGGCCUAACACAUGCAAGUCGAACGGCAGCACAGAGGAGCUUGCUCCUUGGGUGGCGAGUGGCGGACGGGUGAGGAAUACAUCGGAAUCUACUCUGUCGUGGGGGAUAACGUAGGGAAACUUACGCUAAUACCGCAUACGACCUACGGGUGAAAGCAGGGGAUCGUCGGACCUUGCGCGAUCGAAUGAGCCGAUGUCGGAUUAGCUAGUUGGCGGGGUAAAGGCCCACCACGGCGACGAUCCGUAGCUGGUCUGACAGGAUGAACAGCCAAACUGGAACUGGGACGCUGUCCGGACUCCUACGGGAGGCAGCAGUGGGGAAUAUUAGACAAGGGGCGCAGGCCUGAUCCAGCCAUACCGAGUGGGUGAAGAAGGCCUUCGGGUUGUAAAGCCCUUUUGUUGGGAAAGAAAUCCAUCUGGUUAAUACCCGGGUGGGAUGACGGUACCCAAAGAAUAAGCACCGGCUAACUUCGUGCCAGCCGCCGCGGUAA